GGGGGCGCACCGGUUUCGACAGGGAUUCGGAACCCGUAUAAGCGAGCAGUGCCGCGGACGCACUUUAAUCCCCGCAAAAAACAAUAAACGCGAAUAACGAAUUUGCGAUCGCUGCCUAAUUAGAGGCAGCCGUCCGCCGGGAGAGUACCGCGGCUUCCGAACGGGCGUCAUCGAGCGGUGCACGUGAACGCGCAAAGCUUUGAGCGCGUCAUGAAAAAUGAAGCUACCCGACUCCGCAGCCUGCCGGACCGGCGGCGGACGAAGGGAAUCUCUUAAAUAGCCGGCUACGCUCGUAGAAAGUGCGGCGGAUGGGUUUUUGGACAGGAGUUCGACUCUCCUCGCCUCCACCA
rnacentral:tmRNA from 1 species